GCCGGCCCGGAGGACGCGGCUGUGGACGGCAGGAAACCCAAAUUUCAUUUAAAUAUCAAGACACUGACAGAUGAUAUGUUGGAUAGAUUUGCCAGCAUAAGGAUUCCAGGCAGUAGAAAAGAAAGACCUCCUUUAUUG